AUUGAACGCUAGCGGCAUGCCUUACACAUGCAAGUCGAACGGCAGCACGGGGCAACCUGGUGGCGAGUGGCGAACGGGUGAGUAAUGUAUCGGAACGUGCCCAGUAGCGGGGGAUAACUACGCGAAAGCGUAGCUAAUACCGCAUACGCCCUACGGGGGAAAGGGGGGGAUCGCAAGACCUCUCACUAUUGGAGCGGCCGAUAUCGGAUUAGCUAGUUGGUGAGGUAAAGGCUCACCAAGGCUUCGAUCCGUAGCUGGCUUGAGAGGACGACCAGCCACACUGGGACUGAGACACGGCCCAGACUCCUACGGGAGGCUGCAGUGGGGAAUUUUGGACAAUGGGGGCAACCCUGAUCCAGCAAUGCCGCGUGUGCGAAGAAGGCCUUCGGGUUGUAAAGCACUUUUGGCGGGAACGAAACGGUGCCGGAUAAUACCUGGCGCCACUGACGGUACCCGCAGAAUAAGCACCGGCUAACUACGUG
rnacentral:rRNA from 1 species